GGGGUAAAAGCCUACCAAGGAGACGAUCCGUAGCUGGUCUGAGAGGACGGCCAGACAACACUGGAAACUGAG
rnacentral:rRNA from 1 species